rnacentral:lncRNA from 1 species
UGAAUCUUAUCUCACUGAGCAGACUGGAUUCGAGAGGCUUCAAGACGAUAGCUGGUGGAAGAAUCCUGAAGAUGUUGCACGGCGAUAUGAUUGUUCUGGAGGAGAAGAAAAAGAUGAAAGGAUAUUAUUACCUGACAGAAAGUUCAGUGUGAGAUGGAGCUUCAAAAGUCAGGAGAAACCCAGAGCGAGGUGGAGGUGGAUCGGGC